UACGUGGGUGGCAAGCGUUGUCCGGAUUUACUGGGCGUAAAGAGCGCGCAGGCGGUCGUGCAAGUCGCGUGUGAAAGCCCCCGGCUCAACUGGGGAGGGUCACGCGAUACUGCUCGACUUGAAGGCAGGAGAGGGAAGUGGAAUUCCCGGUGUAGUGGUGAAAUGCGUAGAUAUCGGGAGGAACACCAGCGGCGAAGGCGACUUCCUGGCCUGUUCUUGACGCUGAGGCGCGAAAGCUAGGGGAGCAAACGGG
rnacentral:rRNA from 1 species